GUCGACCCAGAGCCCAUGCAGGUGGGACGCCUUCGUCUCACAGUCAAGACGCAGGAUUGACUGGCUCGAGGUCUUUGCCUAUAUUUUGGGAAGCCUGGACACCGAACCAUCUGGUGUCCUUUAAAAGCUGGGGCCCAUCAGUAAGCCAGGGGAUCCUGAUGGGCGCUUCUCCGUGUCUCGAGUCCCCCAAGUCUCGUACCCUACUUCCUGUCUUUGUUCAAUAUAAGGACAUCAUUCACUCUUGUCCAGCUGGUUGAAUCAAGAGCUGAGGGCAAUUUCUUGGAUGUGUCUGCAGCACAGUGGGGCAUCCCUUCCCUUCUCCCAUCUCUGUCCGGUCCCUCAGUGGCCUUCUCCUCUCCUCCAUCACCCACUCCACUCCUUCAACUUCUGUUCCCUAGUUCCUUCCCUGAUAUUACCAGAAUACCCGGCGUGCUCUACAAGGAACUCUCUGCUCUGAUGUUCCGUCAGUACUGACGCUUGGACUCUGUGAGCUGUUCUCUCUACUCUGACGUUGCAUUGGCACUGAUGCUGGGAUAGUGUGUGCUGGUCUUC
ensembl:lncRNA